AACCUCCGCAAUGUGAGAAAUCGCGACGGGGGGAUCCCAAGUGCCAUUCUUAACGGGAUGGCUUUUCAUUGGUGUAAAGAGCUUUUGGAAUAAGAGCUGGGCAAGACCGGUGCCAGCCGCCGCGGUAACACCGGCAGCUCUAGUGGUAACAAUUUUUAUUGGGCCUAAAGCGUCCGUAGCCGGUUUAAUAAGUCUCUGGUGAAAUCCUGUAGCUUAACUGUGGGAAUUGCUGGAGAUACUAUUAGACUUGAGACCGGGAGAGGUUAGAGGUACUCCCAGGGUAGAGGUGAAAUUCUGUAAUCCUGGGAGGACCGCCUGUUGCGAAGGCGUCUAACUGGAACGGUUCUGACGGUGAGGGACGAAAGUUAGGGGCGCGAACCGGACUUAGAUACCCGGGUAGUCCUAACUGUAACGAUGCGGACUUGGUGUUGGGGUGGCUUUGAGCUGCUCCAGUGCCGAAGGGAAGCUGUUAAGUCCGCCGCCUGGGAAGUACGGUCGCAAGACUGAAACUUAAAGGAAUU
rnacentral:rRNA from 1 species